rnacentral:rRNA from 1 species
AUUGAACGCUGGCGGCAUGCCUUACACAUGCAAGUCGAACGGCAGCACGGGUGCUUGCACCUGGUGGCGAGUGGCGAACGGGUGAGUAAUACAUCGGAACAUGUCCUGUAGUGGGGGAUAGCCCGGCGAAAGCCGGAUUAAUACCGCAUACGAUCUACGGAUGAAAGCGGGGGACCUUCGGGCCUCGCGCUAAAGGGUUGGCCGAUGGCUGAUUAGCUAGUUGGUGGGGUAAAGGCCUACCAAGGCGACGAUCAGUAGCUGGUCUGAGAGGACGACCAGCCACACUGGGACUGAGCCACGGCCCAGACUCCUACGGGAGGCAGCAGUGGGGAAUUUUGGACAAUGGGCGAAAGCCUGAUCCAGCAAUGCCGCGUGUGUGAAGAAGGCCUUCGGGUUGUAAAGCACUUUUGUCCGGAAAGAAAUCCUUGGCCCUAAUACGGUCGGGGGAUGACGGUACCGGAAGAAUAAGCACCGGCUAACUACGUG